GAUCAGCCACACUGGAACUGAGACACGGUCCAGACUCCUACGGGAGGCAGCAGUGGGGAAUAUUGCACAAUGGAGGAAACUCUGAUGCAGCAACGCCGCGUGGAGGAUGACGCAUUUCGGUGUGUAAACUCCUUUUAUAUGGGAAGAUAAUGACGGUACCAUAUGAAUAAGCACCGGCUAACUCCGUGCCAGCAGCCGCGGUAAUACGGAGGGUGCAAGCGUUACUCGGAAUCACUGGGCGUAAAGCGCGCGCAGGCGGCCUUUUAAGUUGGAUGUGAAAGCUUACGGCUCAACCGUAGAACUGCAUCCAAAACUAUCAGGCUAGAGUGUGGGAGAGGAAGAUGGAAUUAGUUGUGUAGGGGUAAAAUCCGUAGAGAUAACUAGGAAUACCAAAAGCGAAGGCAAUCUUCUGGAACAUUACUGACGCUGAGGCGCGAAAGCGUGGGGAGCAAACAGGAUUAGAUACCCUGGUAGUCCACGCCCUAAACGAUGAAUGUUAGUCGUCGGGUAGCUAGUCUAUUCGGUGAUGCAGCUGACGCAUUAAACUUUCCGCCUGGGGAGUACGGUCGCAAGAUUAAAACUCAAAGGAAUAGACGGGGACCCGCACAAGUGGUGGAGCAUGUGGUUUAAUUCGAAAAUACGCGAAGAACCUUACCUAGCCUUGACAUAUAUUAGAACACCCUAGAGAUAGAGUGGUGUCUUCGGGAGCUUUUAUACAGGUGCUGCACGGCUGUCGUCAGCUCGUGUCGUGAGAUGUUGGGUUAAGUCCCGCAACGAGCGCAACCCUCGUCACUAGUUACUAACGGUUCGGCCGAGGACUCUAGUGAGACUGCCUUCGUAAGGAGGAGGAAGGUGAGGACGACGUCAAGUCAUCAUGGACCUUACGGCUAGGGCAACACACGUGCUACAAUGGCCAGGACAGUGAGACGCGAUACCGCGAGGUGGAGCAAAUCUAUAAACCUGGUCUCAGUUCGGAUUGUAGUCUGCAACUCGACUACAUGAAGCUGGAAUCACUAGUAAUCGUAGAUCAGCUAUGCUACGGUGAAUACGUUCCCGGGUCUUGUACUCACCGCCCGUCACACCAUGGGAGUUGAUUUCACCCGAAGCGGGGAAGCUAAACUGGCUACCCUCCACGGUGGAAUCAGCGACUGGGGUGAAGUCGUAACAAGGUAACCGUAGGAGAACCUGCGGUUG
rnacentral:rRNA from 1 species